GACCUCACUGAGGCAGAAGACCUCACUGAGAGGUAGAAGACCUCACUGAGGUAGAAGACCUCACUGAGAGGUAGAAGACCUCACUGAGGUAGAAAACCGGCGAAGAUCUCAAAGAUCUCCCGGAGCAAAAAUGGCCGGAAUCCCCAAGAUCAUCCGGUGCUACAAGCAAAAACAACUCAUAAGAACAUAGUUCUGAUCUCACAUAAAAAAUUGGGGCACGAGACCAUAAAUGAAAAGCUAAACUCCGACCUCCCAAAGGAGCUCGAGUCAUCAGGUAAAGAGACUUUAAUCUCACACAACAGCCAAAAGUGUCAAAACACCAUGACGAUCUCAAGAAAAUGAGCUCGGUACUGGUAAACACAAUAGGCAGCCCGAAUAAGGCUCAACAAGAGAG
rnacentral:lncRNA from 1 species